CAGAGCAAUUCCGUUUUAGUUCCGUUCCGCUAUUCUCUCUCCAUGGGGAUGCAACCCAAGUCCUAACCUAAAGUCUGACACGGUCACGGUGUUUACGUUUACUACGCGCUGACGACUGAAGACAGUGAAGACAGUGCUGAAGACUGUGAACCACUGUGAACGAAUAUUAUUUCCAGAUUAGCAGAUUUUUCUUGAUUAUGCAAGAUUAUGUUCGAAAGUGACGAUUGGAUCUUUGAAGUGAGUCUUUUAACUGUACGAGAUUAUAUUAGACGUUCUCUGGCUAAUUUGCGACUUGAUGUGUUUUCUCUCGUAUAUUGUAAUGUAUUAUCAUCGCAACUCCGGCACAGACAACUCCGGAUGCUUUCGACGGGGAUGAUGUCGAGGAGGAGACGAGAUGGAAAUCCUCGUCUCCGUGUCAAAAUGGAG